AGCCAAAAAUAAUGAGUUACAAAAUGUAAUUAUUAAUAAAAAGUCUUCUAACAAAAACAAGCCCAGGAUCAGAUGGUUUUAUUGCUAAAUUAUCCCAUACUUAUAAACAACUAACAUCAAUUCCUCUCCAACUAUUCCAUAAAACUGAAGUGGAGGAAAUUCUCCCUAACUAAUUCUAUUAGACCAGAAUUACCAUGAUACUAAAACCAGUCAAGAACGUAAAAAAACAAAAAUAGACAAAUAAACAAACAUAAAAAAAUACAGCAGACAUAUAGAGACAUCAGAAAGCUAAGGAUAGAGGGCAAACUUUGAGAAACCCUCUACAGAAACUCCCAGCACUCAAUCUCAAGACGAGCUAAUGAUAGAGGCUGUUGCCAGUGAAUAGCCA
rnacentral:lncRNA from 1 species